rnacentral:tRNA from 1 species
AGCAGUGUGGCUCAGUGGAAAGAGCCUGGGCUUGGGAGACAGAGGUCUGGGUUCGAAUCCAGGCUCUGCUG